rnacentral:piRNA from 1 species
UGGCUGAAAACUGCAACUGAAUGGUGACU